GUACUAAUAGUAUAACUAAUACUCUAGAGUUUCAAUCUAUAAAUAUAUUUUAAUAUUUAGUAC
rnacentral:tRNA from 1 species